GUCAAGUGUUGACUUGUGCAGAGUGAUUUCUUCAGAGUGGGAAGGGUAGAAAAGGAAAAAUUAACUCAAUACUGCAGAACUUUCUGAUGACGUCUAAGUCUCCUUUAUCGCUAUAGAUAAAGAAACAGGUCAUAGCCAAGGCUUGCCAUGAUCUGGAGGACUCAGAAUGAGAACUAC